AGAGUUUGAUCAUGGCUCAGGAUGAACGCUGGCGGUAUGCCUAACACAUGCAAGUCGAACGAAGUCUUCGGACUUAGUGGCGGACGGGUGAGUAACGCGUGAGAAUCUGCCUUCAGGACGGGGACAACAGUUGGAAACGACUGCUAAUACCCGAUAUGCCGAGAGGUGAAAUGUUAUUUCGCCUGAAGAUGAGCUCGCGUCUGAUUAGCUAGUUGGUGGUGUAAUGGACUCACCAAGGCGACGAUCAGUAGCUGGUCUGAGAGGAUGAGCAGCCACACUGGGACUGAGACACGGCCCAGACUCCUACGGGAGGCAGCAGUGAGGAAUUUUGCGCAAUGGGGGAAACCCUGACGCAGCAACGCCGCGUGAGUGAUGAAGGCUUUCGGGUCGUAAAGCUCUGUCAAGUGGGAAGAAACCAUAUGGUGUUAAUACCGCCAUAUGCUGACGGUACCACUGAAGGAAGCACCGGCUAACUCCGUGCCAGCAGCCGCGGUAAUAUGGGGGGUGCGAGCGUUAUUCGGAAUUACUGGGCGUAAAGAGCGCGUAGGCGGUCUUUUAAGUCAGGUGUGAAAGCCCGGGGCUCAACCCCGGAAGUGCACUUGAAACUAAGAGACUUGAGUAUGGGAGAGGGAAGUGGAAUUCCUGGUGUAGCGGUGAAAUGCGUAGAUAUCAGGAGGAACAUCGGUGGCGAAGGC
rnacentral:rRNA from 1 species